rnacentral:lncRNA from 1 species
CUUCAUCGAAGAAGAAGAAAUGUACUAGACAUGAUCUGGAGUGUAGCCACCUGCUAGUGGGCAUAAAACUUAGUACAAAUAUUUCACAAACAUUUGCCAUCAAUCAACAAAACACUCCUACACUUGAAACCAAGACCCAGUGGAAAGACUCCCACCCUGAACCACAUGCCAUACAGCAGCAACGCUGUUUGUUAAUUUUGUAUCUUUAAAAUUAAAACAGCGGUGAUAUCAAACAAAUACUCUAGGAGUAUCUACACAAAAUACUCUACAACUUCAGUAUUCAAUAGAUAAUUAAAUUCUGCCAUCUACAAGUUCUAAAACAUCUGACAAGAUAACUGACUGAAUCUGUUUUAGACAGCAGUAUGGUUAACUUUAAAAUUCGAUAUCUCCAAAACUGCUGAACCAAAAAUUAUGAAAUUCUGCUGGAAGUAAGAACUUUUAUCCCUCUACAAAAGUCUCCAUAGUUGGAAGAGCCAAUUCGGCCAUUUACUAGAUGAAACCCACCAGUGAACAGACCCACUCAUUUUUGUCAGGUAAACAGGAACAGCCACAGUAAAACAAACAUAACUGGAGUUUCACAAAUCAUAUGAAUGCACUCUUUAACAAUUUGGAAAGCUUAUAAAAUUAUCUACAACUUCUUUUACCAACCCACAGUUUAAUUCUGUUGAUAAAAUUGCCUAAAUCUUAAGAGAACAGAUUCUGCACAUAAUUAUGAGACUGAAAAACUGCUAUAGUAAAACUGCAAUAACUUUCUGGUCGGAUGUCCGAUUGAGGUGUUCUUCGCGGCCACGGAAAGAUCUACAAAUUAUCUACGACUCAUACAUAGACUUUUUAUUUUUUUGAGGCCACUAAGACCACGGAAAACUGGCAUGAACAGAAACUGUCGAAUCUGCCAUUCUGCAGAAAACUAAAUUCGAGAUCAAAACCUAACCCCACAUCAAAUCCAACCUCUAAUCCUUUAAUUCACAUGAUCCACAACCUCCAAAAGCCUAUAAUUACAGGGAGGAACAAGGAUCUCAUCCAUACCUAGGGUUUCCCCAAGAAAUCUUCAAGAGGAGAUGGGGAAGAACAUCUCCUUGAUCCUCUCUUCCUCUUCAAUUCAACGUGCCCCUCCUUUUCUCGAUCCUUGCUGCGUAGGGGGAGAUCUUGGGGGAGGAAGCAAUGGAGGAUGGCUGCCAUAGGAGGAGGGGGCGUCCAGCCAAGGGGGAGAAAAAGGGGGUGGCGGCCAAGAGGGGGGGUGAAGGGAAAAAAGGGGUGGCCACCUAGGGUUUUUGUGGGAGAAAGAAACGACGCCUCAGAUGACUUCUAUCUUUGCAUCCAAUGGCCCACAACCCUUUACCUCAUCCACGCACCAGAGAUUAACUUUUGGUCAACAUUUUUUUGGGAUAUUACACUCUACCCCCCUUAAAAAGAAUUCGACCUCGAAUUCGGCCACUCCAAGCAAAACACCCAAGGUACCCCAUAUAGCACCACAAUUCAAAACAUGGGUCCAUUAUUGGUCUUAAUUAACACAAGAACUUCUACCUUGUACUAAUUGUCUAAGGAAACUACACGACCUGACAUCAAGCAUGAAACAACAUGUAAUGAAGCUCAAAGCAUGUCAUAGUUGCAAUCAACACUCCAAUUUCACACCAUCAAAUUUGGAUGCAGCUAUACAUCAACAUCAAUGUCUUAAGACAACACUCUUUUAUGAAGGGGUAAUAUGCACCAAGCACAACCCUUACCAACUUCAACCAUUAAUUUUAAUUAAAUGGUGAAACAUCUACACCCGACGAAUGUAUAAGAAGAUCAAACACCUCACCUUAAAGCACUAUGAAACAAGUAGUUCUAUUGGAACAAAACUCCUAAUCUUCCUAAACCUUAUUCUUGCCAUCAUGAAAAGAUAAUCAUGUAAUCUAACAUUCCUUGCACCCCACCAAAAGGGAGAAAAUCUAUAGAACUAAUGGAGCAAUAAAGCCAAAAGAAGCCAAUAACAUCUUGUGCGGCAUAGUUCAUCGAAGAAAUGCAAAAAACUCUACAUAGAGCACUGAUAGCCCAACAACAACACAAUACUUGCUUAACCCAUGUCACUAUACUUCAUUCAACAUCUCAACUAAGAAAAAUAUCCAACUAGUAAGGACAACCUACACAUAAUAUAAGUCUUCAUCUACUGUAGUUCAGAAACUUACAUUUCAUUCUAUCAUACGAUGCACUCAAAGUACCAGACAUACAAAGUCAAUAAUAAUAACCCCUAAUCCUUCACACAUUUGACAAACAUAUUAAGCUGAUGUAAACACCACAUGAUCUAGGAAUAGGUGACUAGCCACACC